GAUGAACGCUGGCGGCGUGCCUAAUACAUGCAAGUCGAGCGACCGCACGAUAAGCUUUUUCUUUUGCUGUUAGCGGCUGACGGGCGAGUAACGCAUGCAUCACCUUCCUCUAUUACUUGGAUGAUUUCGUGAAACCGCUUCUAAUACCGGCUCAUAUUUUCUACCGCUUGGUUCAAAAGUUCUUCACGGUUUUCCUGUCUCUUUUAGCUGAUUUCGCGUUGCAUUAGCUAGUUGGUAAGGUAACGGCAUACCAAGGCAACGAUGCAUAGCCGACCUGAGAGGGUGAUAGGCCACACUGGAACUGAGAAAAGGGCCAGACUCCUAAGGGAGGCAGCAGUAGGGAAUCUUGCGCAAUGGGCGAAAGCCUGACGGAGCAAAGCCGCGUGAGUGAUGAAGGUCUUCGGAUCGUAAAACUCUGUUAUUAGGGAAGAAAAUAUGUGUAAGUAACUGUGCACAUCUUGACGGUACCUAAUCAGAAAGCCACGGCUAACUACGUG
rnacentral:rRNA from 1 species